UACGGAGGGUGCGAGCGUUGUCCGGAAUCAUUGGGCGUAAAGGGCGCGUAGGUGGCCACUUCAAGCGUGCGGUGAAAGUCGGGGGCUCAACCCCUGAUCGGCCGUGCGAACUGGGGGGCUGGAGCACUGUAGAGGCAGGCGGAAUUCCGGGUGUAGCGGUGGAAUGCGUAGAGGAUCCGGAAGAACACCGGUGGCGAAGGCGGCCUGCUGGGCAGUUUUGCUGACACUGAGGCGCGACAGCGUGGGGAGCAAACAGG
rnacentral:rRNA from 1 species